CAAACGGCCCUUUUUAGGGCCAUCAAUUUCUUCAUGUACGAAGAAU
rfam:Trachymyrmex cornetzi contig58465, whole genome shotgun sequence.